CAGCAGUAGGGAAUCUUCCGCAAUGGGCGAAAGCCUGACGGAGCAACGCCGCGUGAGUGAAGAAGGAUUUCGGUUCGUAAAGCUCUGUUGUUAGGGAAGAAUGAUUAUGUAGUAACUAUACAUAGUAGAGACGGUACCUAACCAGAAAGCCACGGCUAACUACGUGCCAGCAGCCGCGGUAAUACGUAGGUGGCAAGCGUUGUCCGGAAUUAUUGGGCGUAAAGCGCGCGCAGGUGGUUUAAUAAGUCUGAUGUGAAAGCCCACGGCUCAACCGUGGAGGGUCAUUGGAAACUGUUAAACUUGAGUGCAGGAGAGAAAAGUGGAAUUCCUAGUGUAGCGGUGAAAUGCGUAGAGAUUAGGAGGAACACCAGUGGCGAAGGCGGCUUUUUGGCCUGUAACUGACACUGAGGCGCGAAAGCGUGGGGAGCAAACAGGAUUAGA
rnacentral:rRNA from 1 species